UCUUGGUCAUUUAGAGGAAGUAAAAGUCGUAACAAGGUUUCCGUAGGUGAACCUGCGGAAGGAUCAUUAAAAAAAAGAGAAACGUCCCGUUUUUUUCAUAAGAAUGGGUUCUAUUCCCUUAACCGUGUCUACAUACCUUUGUUGCUUUGGCAGGCCGCCUUCGGGCGUCGGCUCCGGCUGAUAGUGCCUGCCAGAGGACCCAAACUCUAUGUUUAGUGAUGUCUGAGUACUAUAUAAUAUUUAAAACUUUCAACAACGGAUCUCUUGGUUCUGGCAUCGAUGAAGAACGCAGCGAAAUGCGAUAAGUAAUGUGAAUUGCAGAAUUCAGUGAAUCAUCGAAUCUUUGAACGCACAUUGCGCCCCUUGGUAUUCCGAGGGGCAUGCCUGUUCGAGCGUCAUUAUAACCACUCAAGCCUGGCUUGGUAUUGGGGUUUUCGCGUGUUCGCGGCCCUUAAAAUCAGUGGCGGUGCCGUCUGGCUCUAAGCGUAGUAAUUUCUCUCGCUAUAGGGUUCCGGUGGUUACUUGCCAAAACCCCCCAUUUUUUCUAGGUUGACCUCGGAUCAGGUAGGGAUACCCGCUGAACUUAAGCAUAUCAAU
rnacentral:rRNA from 1 species